UGCAGGACCAGGACCGCAAACCUGACGAAGCUUCGUGGAGGGAGGGCGGAUAGCAGUCACUCACGGGGACAAGGCUGGCUUCUGGGAAUAGAGGAGGCGAUUUUCCUGAGGGCAGAGGCGGCACCUCUGGCUGCCCGCCCUUCCCCUGACCCCAGAGGCUCAAAGCAGAGGACCAGCCACAGAACAUGCUGGAAGGAAUCACUGGAUCCCGCCUGGAGUCAGAGAGGCCACGUGAGGACGAAGGAAGGCAGCGCCCUGCCAGCCGGGCAGAGUCCUCACAGAUUCCGAAGCAGUGGCAUCUAGACCGUGGGCUUCCAGCCUCCGGGGCUGUGAGGAAUCCAUGUCUGAGGCGCCCUGUGGUGGCAGUGGAGCUAAGACGCCCCUGUGCAUCCUCAUCUCCCGCUGCCCCCACCUGCCCCGCUGCCCCUCUCCAACCUCAAGGCUGGGGUCCCUGACCCUGAGCUCAGGACCAGCCCUUUGAGGACCCUCUCUUGUUCCUUGAGACCCUGCCCUCCUGUCCCUGCUCCCUGACCGGGCCUCUGGGGAGCAGGGUGAGAGUGUGGCAGGGGUGACAGGGCGCCUGGCUUGCUGUGAGGGCUCGGGGUCUGGACUCGUCUCUGGCCACCAGAGGAAGGUGAGCAGGGUUCCAGGUCAGGUCGCCGGGAGGCAGGGCCCAGCGCCUGCAAACAGUCGCAUCAGGACCCUGGGGCGGCCCUUAUAUGCGUCUGGGCCUCUUGAACCACCGCCUGGGAUGGCUGAGAGGCUUAAAUGGGUGACUCCGGGCAUGCGCACAUUCCAGCCUAGCCCAUUCUCUGCAGCAGCCCCAGCCAAGCCCCAUGCAGGCUUCUGAGGUCCUCACGUGUAAAAUCUGGAUGUUAAGGUCUCCCUUGGACUCAAGGAGGCGGUCACUGUGGCUUGAGAGAUGCUCCCUCAGUGAUAAGCACAUCACCUUCCUCUUCAGGGACUGGUUAGGACAGACGUUUAAAGGAAACCAGCCCAGUGACUCUGUCAGGAGACGU